rnacentral:rRNA from 1 species
CGGCGGACGGGUGAGUAACGCGUGGGUAACCUACCCCAAAGUCCGGGAUAACAGCGGGAAACCGCUGCUAAUACCGGAUGUCUUUACCUUGGGGCGUCUCGAGGUAAAGAAAGGUAACGCUUUGGGAUGGGCCCGCGUCCCAUUAGCUAGUUGGUGAGGUAACGGCUCACCAAGGCGACGAUGGGUAGCCGGCCUGAGAGGGUGGACGGCCACACUGGGACUGAGACACGGCCCAGACUCCUACGGGAGGCAGCAGUAGGGAAUAUUGCGCAAUGGACGGAAGUCUGACGCAGCGACGCCGCGUGAGCGAUGAAGGUCUUCGGAUCGUAAAGCUCUGUCCUUGGGGAAGAAGGCGAAAGCUUGACGGUACCCAAGAAGAAAGCCCCGGCUAACUACGUGCCAGCAGCCGCGGUAAUACGUAGGGGGCGAGCGUUGUCCGGAAUUACUGGGCGUA